rnacentral:lncRNA from 1 species
AGAGUUAGGCUCCUAUGCUUUCAAAAGUACGGAAGGCUUCGUGCUUGUAAGUUGUUUUCGAUGAUGGGACAUUCGAUUCGGCGAUCGGUUCCGUUAAACUUGAUCUACGCUAUUGGAACUAUCUAGAAACCAAAUUUCAUAAUUUUUUGAUUUCGUUUGUCUAGUGAACGAGUAGCCUCAAAAUGAACGGCUAAAAAUAAAAAUCUCAUAAAAACAGUAAUAAAGGAUUCAAAAUUUAAAUCAGAAGUAUUGAUCUUGCUACAGAUGUUAAGUAGAAUUUUCUAUUAAAUUUUCAUGUAAUUUGGAUACUUCUACACCGUUGAACUUAAAAAUGUGCCACAUCGACCGUUAAAAUAGUUAUUUUUUAGACCUUUUGAUCGCUUAGUAAAUGAUGUUAAAAAAAUCUAAAAUUUGGUUUCUAGAUAGUUCCAAUAGGGUAGAUCAUACCUAACGGAGCCGAUCGUCGAAUC